rnacentral:rRNA from 1 species
GACGAAGGGGGCUAGCGUUGUUCGGAAUUACUGGGCGUAAAGCGCGUGUAGGCGGUUAUCCAAGUCAGGUGUGAAAGCCUUGAGCUCAACUCAAGAAAUGCACUUGGUACUGGGUGACUAGAGGACCGGAGAGGAUAGUGGAAUUCCCAGUGUAGUGGUGAAAUACGUAGAGAUUGGGAAGAACACCAGUGGCGAAGGCGGGUCUCUGGACAGUUCCUGACGCUGAGGCACGAAGGCCAGGGGAGCAAACGGG